AUAAUGAUUCAUGAUGUGAGAAUUAUUUCAUAUACCUGUUGGCCAUUUGUAUAUCUUCUUUGAUGUCAUGUCUAUUCAAAUCUUUUGUUCAUUUUUAAAAGAAUUAUUACGUUUUCAAAAAAUACUAUUGAGUUGUAGGUGUCCUUAUAUAUUUUGCAUAUUUCACAUUAUUUUAAGGAGAAGUGUCUCCGAGGUCCAUUGUUAAAUGCACUGAUCUUGACCUAUCCCAAUGUGGAUGACUUUUUCACCAUCACUGGCAUCUUUUUCACCUGUAGUCUCUCAUUAUUGUGAUUAACAUAACAAAGCAAGGAGAAGUUGCUUCUUGCUGGAGUUAGAUAAGACUAGUAAAUUGGGAAAUACUUUUCCACUCCAUGUUUUAAUUGCUUCACUUGAACAGACAAUAGUUGAACUUUAUAACUGUAGGCUUGAAGAAUUCAGCCACCAGAUACAAAAUUUAUACAAAAACACAAAAUAACUGCAUAUAAAUAAGAGCAACAGCAAAAAAAUGUGAUAUGCCUUUCCUACCCUUGAUUUGUGUUAGUUUGUCUUAUUAUUUAUCUUUGCUGUAAGCAUGAAGGACAUUGCUGUCCUAAUUUUGGAGGUUUUCUUCAAUAAAGAAGCAAAUCUCGACUAGCUGCUCUAAGUUAAAUUGGAAAGGAUAUACAGUCUGUAUCUAUCUAGUACUAGCAUUAAAAUGUUAAUCCUCUCUCUCUCUCUCUCUCUCUCUCAUUGUGGUAUAAAGACUGAUUCAUUUGGCUGAAAAUUAGUUAACUAGUGAGACAUAGACCAAGUGUCAUUGACAUCGAAUAAAUAAAUGCCCUAUUCCCUAUUUUGUCCAUAAAAAUAUAAUCCUAGUAUAUUUCUAGAGUAAAUCAAGGUCUGGGUACAUCAAAUCACAACCUAACUUUGUAGAAGAUGGCACUUAAUGUUUCAUUUUCAGAAGUUUUUUUUCAACUUUUCAUUUAUUCAUUAAGGCAGGUAUCUUAAAUAUUUGUGUGACUGUUUAGCUGAGUUUUAUUUAUUUCUAAUUAAUUAUUUAUUGUUAUUAUUUUUGGUGACCCAGGUCAGAGUGGCAUGUUCAUGGCUCACUGCAUCCUCUAACCCCUGGGCUAAAGUGAUCCUUGCUGGAUUUUAUUUAAAUUUUGGUCAUAAUAGUAUGUAGUGUUGUCAUUGCUA
rnacentral:lncRNA from 10 species